GGGACAGACACACGUUGCGGGGCAACGAUUGUAAAAGA
rfam:Ruminococcus sp. DSM 100440 contig00004, whole genome shotgun sequence.